AGCAUGCUAGUCGCACGAGUUCAGACUCGUGGCGAAUAGCUCAGUAACACGUGGCCAAACUACCCUUCGGAGCACGAUACCCUCGGGAAACUGAGGCUAAUAGUGCAUACCACAAUCCAGCUGGAAUGAGGAUUGUGCCAAACGCUCCGGCGCCGAAGGAUGUGGCUGCGGCCGAUUAGGUAGACGGUGGGGUAACGGCCCACCGUGCCAAUAAUCGGUACGGGUCAUGAGAGUGAGAACCCGGAGACGGAAUCUGAGACAAGAUUCCGGGCCCUACGGGGCGCAGCAGGCGCGAAACCUUUACACUGCACGCCAGUGCGAUAAGGGAAUCCCAAGUGCGCAGGCAUAGAGCCUGCGCUUUUGUACACCGUAGGGAGGUGUACGAAUAAGGGCUGGGCAAGACCGGUGCCAGCCGCCGCGGUAAUACCGGCAGCCCGAGUGAUGGCCGAUCUUAUUGGGCCUAAAGCGUCCGUAGCUGGCCGCACAAGUCCAUCGGAAAAUCCACCCGCCCAACGGGUGGGCGUCCGGUGGAAACUGUGUGGCUUGGGACCGGAAGGCGCGACGGGUACGUCCGGGGUAGGAGUGAAAUCCUGUAAUCCUGGACGGACCGCCGAUGGCGAAAGCACGUCGCGAGGACGGAUCCGACAGUGAGGGACGAAAGCCAGGGUCUCGAACCGGAUUAGAUACCCGGGUAGUCCUGGCCGUAAACAAUGCCUGCUAGGUGUGGCUCCCGCUACGAGCGGGUGCUGUGCCGUAGGGAAGCCGCUAAGCAGGCCGCCUGGGAAGUACGUCCGCAAGGAUGAAACUUAAAGGAAUUGGCGGGGGAGCACUACAACCGGAGGAGCCUGCGGUUUAAUUGGACUCAACGCCGGACAUCUCACCAGCAUCGACUGUAGUAAUGACGACCAGGUUGAUGACCUUGUCCGAGCUUCAAAGAGGAGGUGCA
rnacentral:rRNA from 1 species